rnacentral:lncRNA from 1 species
ACCUCUCCGCCUGGAGAACUUGCUAUGUUCGUUGACGGAACUGCUCCUGGAUUGACAAGGUUGUAGGUUGGGGAUGCCGGGGCUGUCAUCUGGAAGUUGAUCCACCGCCCAGAUCCAACAGUGGAGGCAUCAGAUUCAUCACAUUCAGGUAUAGCAGCAGGAAGCCCAUGAUAGCGGCCCCGGGUAGGGCUAGCAGGGGCGGACGCAGCAAACAGAGACUGGGGGAAUGCACUGUAGUCCCAGUCUGGCUUCCUAAUCUUAGGUGGGCGGGAGGCAGUCGGUGAGGAAAGGGGCGGGGUGACAGGUGCACUGUUGGAUAUUCGAAGAGGUGGGAGG